AACGCUAGCUACAGGCUUAACACAUGCAAGUCGAGGGGCAGCAUAGAAGUAGCAAUACUUUGGUGGCGACCGGCGCACGGGUGAGUAACGCGUAUGCAACCUACCUAUCAGAGGGGGAUAACCCGGCGAAAGUCGGACUAAUACCGCAUAAAACAGGGGCACCGCAUGGUGAUAUUUGUUAAAGAUUAAUUGCUGAUAGAUGGGCAUGCGUUCCAUUAGGUAGUUGGUGAGGUAAUGGCUCACCAAGCCGACGAUGGAUAGGGGAACUGAGAGGUUGGUCCCCCACACUGGUACUGAGACACGGACCAGACUCCUACGGGAGGCAGCAGUGAGGAAUAUUGGUCAAUGGGCGAGAGCCUGAACCAGCCAAGUCGCGUGAAGGAAGAAGGAUCUAUGGUUCGUAAACUUCUUUUGCAGGGGAAUAAAGUGGAGGACGUGUCCUCUUUUGUAUGUACCCUGAGAAUAAGGAUCGGCUAACUCCGUGCCAGCAGCCGCGGUAAUACGGAGGAUCCGAGCGUUAUCCGGAUUUAUUGGGUUUAAAGGGUGCGUAGGUGGUUUAAUAAGUCAGCGGUGAAAGUUUGCAGCUUAACUGUAAAAAUGCCGUUGAAACUGUAAGACUUGAGUGUAAAUGAGGUAGGCGGAAUGCGUGGUGUAGCGGUGAAAUGCUUAGAUAUCACGAAGAACUCCGAUUG
rnacentral:rRNA from 1 species